rnacentral:rRNA from 1 species
AUGAAGCCACUCACAUACAUACUGAUCGGUCACUCGCGGCAAGAUAAUGAAGUCGUCUACCUCGUACUGGCCAUCGGGUCGCUGCUCGUCGUCCUGCUCGCCUGGCGCCGAGGCAGGGGGGCGGCGGCGGACGGCAAGGACAAGCUGCGGCUGCCGCCGGGGCCGUGGACGCUACCGGUGAUCGGCAGCAUGCACCACAUCGUAGGGGCGCUCCCGCACCGAGCCAUGCGCGACCUGGCGCGGCGGCACGGGUGGCCGGUCAUGCUGCUCUGGCUCGGCGAGGUGCCGACGCUGGUGGUCUCGUGUCGGGAGGCGGCGCGCGAGGUGAUGAAGACCCAUGAUGCCUCGUUCGCGACGCGGCCGCUGAGCUCCACCAUGCGCGUGCUCACCAAGGGCGGCCGGGACAUCGUCUUCGCGCCCUACGGCGAUUACUGGCGCCAGAUGCGCCGCAUCGCCGUCACCGAGCUCCUCACCACGCGCCGCGUCCUCUCCUUCCGCGCCAUCCGGGAGGAGGAGGUCGCCGCCAUGCUCCGGGCCGUCGCAUCCGCCGGGGACGGCGGCGCCGUGGUCGACAUGCACGCGCGGCUGUCCGCGCUCGUGGCCGACAGCACGCUGCGCGUCGUGAUUGGCGACCGGUGCAGUGGCCGCGACGUGUUUCUCCGGGAGCUCGAACGCUCCAUCGGGCUCGUCGCGGGGUUCAACCCGGCCGACCUGUGGCCGUCGUCGCGGCUCGCCGCCUGGGCUAGCGGCGCCGUCCGCCGCGCCGAGGAGUGCCGUGACACCGUGUUUGUGUGUGUGCAUGCAGGACAUGUUUGGUGCCGGCAGUGA